AGCGAACGCUGGCGGCAUGCCUAACACAUGCAAGUCGAACGAGACCUUCGGGUCUAGUGGCGCACGGGUGCGUAACGCGUGGGAACCUGCCCUUAGGUUCGGAAUAACUCCCCGAAAGGGGUGCUAAUACCGGAUAAUGUCUUCGGACCAAAGAUUUAUCGCCUUUGGAUGGGCCCGCGUUGGAUUAGCUAGUUGGUAGGGUAAAAGCCUACCAAGGCGACGAUCCAUAGCUGGUCUGAGAGGAUGAUCAGCCACACUGGGACUGAGACACGGCCCAGACUCCUACGGGAGGCAGCAGUGGGGAAUAUUGGACAAUGGGCGAAAGCCUGAUCAAGCAAUGCCGCGUGAGUGAUGAAGGCCUUAGGGUUGUAAAGCUCUUUUACCCGGGAUGAUAAUGACAGUACCGGGAGAAUAAGCUCCGGCUAACUCCGUG
rnacentral:rRNA from 1 species